rnacentral:lncRNA from 1 species
UUUGUAAUUCUUGAAAGGUUAAUUGCACUAUUUAUAGACCAAACUGUAAAGCAAAAACCCUCAGCGUGACCCUUCAGGGUCACCGUAGUAAUAGCAACCUCAAUGGAGCCCUGACCAGUCAUGAAUUACUGUCUGUGAUACUGAGAAUGCUGACAGUUCAAUCACAGCACUGUUUCAAUAGAGAACUCCAUAUAUUUAAAGCGCUGAUACUGUUUUCCCUCUAAAUGACAGGCUUGACAGAUGGGCCAAAAGCACCGCAGACGUUUGAACAAGGAAAUAGAGAGGGAGCCUGCUGGAAGCUGGGCCUCAUGCAGCCAGGCGAGAAUGAUGAAUAGAGUGUGAUUGUGUCUGACAGACACCUGGAGCACACUAUAUUAAAUGGUACAAGAUGGAGAGAUUCUGUGACAAGAAUAGGAAGUGUGAAUUCCGGGCUGAGUUUAGGUACAGCAAUAUAAAAGGUCAGGGGUCAAGCAAUAUAAAC